rnacentral:rRNA from 1 species
CUGAUCUACCAGUACAAAAGCUGGUAUACACCCAUAAGACGAGAAGACCCUGCGGAGCUUUAAGUUUCAAUGCUACACCAACCAACCUAAGCCUAUUAGGCCCAAUAUUAACCACAUAGCAUUACACUUUAAGUUGGGGCAACUGCGGAGAAAAAUAAAACCUCCAUGAAAACAGGCUACAAGCCACCAUAAAACACACCAGUUACCUGGUAAAAAAUUUGACCCAGCAAUGCUGAUCACCGAACCAAGUUACCCCAGGGAUAACAGCGCCAUCCCCCUCAAGAGUUCAUAUCGCCAGGGGGGCUUACGACCUCGAUGUUGGAUCAGGACACCCAGAUGGUGUAGCCGCUAUCAAUGGUUCGUUUGUUCAACGAUUAAUGUCCUACGUGAU